ensembl:piRNA 21ur-3594 ncRNA
UAUUUAGUUUUCAGUAUAGGC